UCACACUAUCAUCUUCUCAACUUCUCCAUUUUAUUUACCAUCCAUAAAACCGACAAAGAGUAAAUCCCUAAUAAAUCCCUCAUCUAUCUGAUACUCAGACUUUCAUUUUGUUGAAAAAGGUGGUUUUGUAUUUGGGAUCGACUAAUUUUGAAAAGGAUUUGUCAUAAAAAAUUAUAAUUAGGGUUUGUUAAGUCCCACAAGUAGUGUAUCGUUUAAAUGUUGAUUGAGCUCCCUGCUGGAAUCAGAUCGUUGAUUAUCGAAGCUAUCAUAAUGCAACGAUUGUUAAAUUCAUUGCAUAGGGCUAGAUGAUAUUAUGUGAUUUGAGUUCUCAUAUUCGUUGUUGAUAUCUAAUAGUUGUCCUACUAAGAAAGUUCAUUCGAAUUCAAUUUGUGAAUUAUGUGGAUACGGGACUCUUAAAUUGGAAGAAAUAGAAGUUCACAACAAAGGAAAGUUAAUCGUUUAUGUGAAUUAAGUUUUAUCGGAAUCCAGUACUUUCCUUCUUCUUUGCCAAGUUUAAUCUUGUUGCUGUGCAACCAGUCUUGAUGUAUUUUAAGGUAAACCCGAACCAGAUACCGGUGUUAUACUUUAUCUGCAUAAUUGAAAGGGCUAGUAAUAAAUAUAUUUUUGAUCUGCUGAUAAUGCUUAGGCAUAGUGCUGAAGUAUGUCAUGCGUCUUCCAUAUGUAAAGAUGGUGCUUUAAGAGUUUAAGAAUCAUGUAGCUGUGUAUUAGUUUUGAGAUUAGUAUGCAAAAUUGUUGUUUAUGGAAAGUUUCAAAAAUGGUUUUUGAUAACUUUAGUUUUUGUAUACUCAUUGGAUACCCAAAUGGUUUGUCGGUGGGUGUUACCUAAGUUGAGUGUUUGUUAAUUACAGGUAUAUGAUUUUCUUUUUGGGUCGCUAGUGGUUCGUGCCUUAUGGCUGGAACCGGAAAUACACAACUUAUAAAAAAAUUGGUCAUCAUAUUGAAUUUACCGUCGCUAGAGUUCAGGUACUAAUUGUACCUUUUUUCUUUUCUUUGACCAAUAGAAGUUAACUAGUAAAACCGUUCUUGUAAUAAUUUACUCUAUCAGCUGCACUGCGUAUAAAAAGUAGUACUAGUUUAUGGUUUUGAUUGUAUUAUGUACUUGUUUAACUGGUGAAUUUUUAUUUUCACAACGAGCAAGCACCUUCAAUCAUUUUCAUGAAUGACGUUGGAAAUAUUGGAUCUGCUUGUGUUAAUGGUUAUAAUAAAGUGCAGAAAACCAAGGUAGCUGGGAUUUUUUUUUCAUACUAAAUUGUAUUGGAGAUUGGCUUUUCUAAUUUUUGAAGUUUUGCCACACAUUUUUCGGUAGCCUAGUAUAAAAAUGUACGUCUUCAUAGGGGCAUAACUCUUUACAUACUAAUUUUUCAGAGUUUCUUCUCAUUAGUGAACAAGUUGAAGGGAUGAAACCCCAGUAAUUGCUCUCCCCGUCAAUUUGAUUCAGCCAGGCACAUAUUUACUUUUUAUAAAUCAUUUAAGUUAUAGAUGCCAAUGUAUUUAAUUUGAUCUGUUAUUUAUUAUGUUGUAAGGAGCAUCAAAGGCUUAUUUAUUGGCAGUCCUUUUAAAUUUCUUUUAACAACUUUGUUUGCUUGCUUUUAACAUUUUUAUACAGACUUCGAUUGUGGUUUAGUAAUAUUUUUCUUUUUUACAGUUUUGAGGAGCCGUGGAGAAAUACAAACUUCAAAACUUCACUUUAAUCAUGCCUCCUUUCAAGCUUGUUGAAUUGUGCCUGGGAAGCUGGUGAAUGGUGAUUUGUGAUGACUGAUAUAUGAAUAAGCAUCACGCGCGCACCGAGUAUUGCACAAUCUCGGUGUAAUAGCAUGCAAUUGAGGAUCGACGCAGUCAUCCAAGACUCAGACAUGCUUGCUAUUUCCUUACACUGGGCAUAACUCUCACCAUAGGAAUUUGGCAAAAAAAAUUCCCUUUAGUGCACGAGGGAAGACAGAAGAUUUCUACCAGUGACUUAGCGUUCUCCUGUGUGAAAGAGAAUAUUCGUUGCUCAAUGAACGACAACACACUUCAGCAGAAUAUAGGAUCUUAUAUUAUGAAAUGAAUUUUUCUAUUCUAUAUAUUCUUUUGCAGCAGAUUGACAUCCUAGCGAAAGAAUUUGGAUGAAGUGUGAACAAGCAUCUUUAGUAAAAUGACCUGGAAUAGGCAGGAAAUUGGAGUGCAGUUGUCCUUUCGGAAAUUUGUUGGAGGUUGCCCUUCCAACUCUUUUAUGCGAAUGCGCUUAUAUAUUUUGAUAUGUAAAACUCUAUCAGAUUCCGUAUAUCAAGAUAUUUAUGAACGAUGUUGA